UCAUAUUUUUAUUUAGUGUCUAAUUUUAUUCUGUAAAUGUGAAAUUUUUGAAAUGGGCGACAAUUUACUAGUCGCUCUUGCUGCCCGACUUAAAAUGCCGAAAGUCCAACUGCCACACAGUUCCAACGGGAUCAUGUGCCAUGGGCCGACCGUCCGCGACGAGAGAAAAUAGUUAUCAUCCUAUUCUAUGGCGCAAUGCUGGCCCUAAUUGUCAAUAUUGUGGGCUGGAUGGCGUUCAUCUGUAUCUUUCUGCAUCCAGGCAUACAUGCUCCACAGCGAACCAAAGAGCCAGACAGCAACAAUAGGCAGGUUACAAUAAGCGCUUUGAGCCAUGCGACAAAUCCAAACACUUAGUCCACUUACCCGUCGAGCAGGACACUUUCCAGGUGGAGGCGCACAAAGGCGAUUAUCGAUUUUAACACACGCGUCACUGGGUUGCAUAGCGCCCGGUACGUGGAACAAAUGGGAAUGGCAAUUGGGAUCGAAUGGAAACGAACAUGGAAAUAAAAAACAACAAAGAGCGUGAAAGGAGCACUCAAAGACAGCAAAGCAAGACACAAAACCCGUAACUAACUUCUCUUAAACAACUGGAAUUUUCUUUCCCGUUUCGUUUCGUGUCGUUUUUACAAACUCGUAAAUAAUCGCAAUAA